AUUGAACGCUGGCGGCAUGCCUAACACAUGCAAGUCGAGCGAGCGGCGGACGGGUGAGAAAUGUAUGGGGACUGCCCGAUAGAGGGGGAUAACUACUGGAAACGGUAGCUAAUAACGCAUACUAUCGGAUAACCCAUAUGGGAUUAGCUAGUAGGUGAGGGAAUGGCUCACCUAGGCGACGAUCCCUAGCUGGUCUGAGAGGAUGAUCAGCCACACUGGGACUGAGAAACGGCCCAGACGCCUACGGAGGCAGCAGUGGGGAAUAUUGCACAAUGGGCGCAAGCCUGAUGCAGCCAUGCCGAGUGUAUGAAGAAGGCCCUAGGGUUGUAAAGUACUUUCAGUCGGGAGGCGUUACCGGCAGAAGAAGCACCGGCUAACUCCGUGCCAGCAGCCGCGGUAAUUC
rnacentral:rRNA from 1 species